rnacentral:rRNA from 1 species
GACGAACGCUGGCGGCGUGCUUAACACAUGCAAGUCGAACGGAAAGGCCCUGCUUGCAGGGUGCUCGAGUGGCGAACGGGUGAGUAACACGUGGGUGAUCUGCCCCUUAUUUUGGGAUAAGCCUUGGAAACUGGGUCUAAUACUGGAUAGGACCAUGCUGCAGGUGGUGUGGUGGAAAGAUUAGUUUCGGUUAGGGAUGAGCUCGCGGCCUAUCAGCUUGUUGGUGGGGUAAUGGCCUACCAAGGCGUCGACGGGUAGCCGGCCUGAGAGGGUGGACGGCAACAUUGGGACUGCGACACGGGCCAGAAGCCUACGAGAGGCAGCAGUGGGGGAUAUUGCAAAAUAGGCGCAAGGCUGAUGCGGCGAAGGCGCGUGGGGGAUGACGGCCUUCGGGUUGUAAACUACUUUCGGCCAUGACGAAGCCGUUGUGGUGACGGUAGUGGUAGAAGAAGCACCGGCUAACUACGUG